rnacentral:rRNA from 1 species
GACGAACGCUGGCGGCGUGCUUAACACAUGCAAGUCGAACGAUGAAGCCCUUCGGGGUGGAUUAGUGGCGAACGGGUGAGUAACACGUGGGCAAUCUGCCCUUCACUCUGGGACAAGCCCUGGAAACGGGGUCUAAUACCGGAUACGAGCUUCCUCCGCAUGGUGGAAGUUGGAAAGCUCCGGCGGUGAAGGAUGAGCCCGCGGCCUAUCAGCUUGUUGGUGAGGUAAUGGCUCACCAAGGCGACGACGGGUAGCCGGCCUGAGAGGGCGACCGGCCACACUGGGACUGAGACACGGCCCAGACUCCUACGGGAGGCAGCAGUGGGGAAUAGUGCACAAUGGGCGAAAGCCUGAUGCAGCGACGCCGCGUGAGGGAUGACGGCCUUCGGGUUGUAAACCUCUUUCAGCAGGGAAGAAGCGAAAGUGACGGUACCUGCAGAAGAAGCGCCGGCUAACUACGUGCCAGCCGCCGCCGUAACAC